rnacentral:rRNA from 1 species
AGCAGCCGCGGUAAUUCCAGCUCCAAUAGCGUAUAUUAAAGUUGUUGCAGUUAAAAAGCUCGUAGUUGAAUUUCGGGAUCAAUACGUCGGUCGUGCUUCGGUACGUACUGGCGUAAUUGAUUUCUCCCUUCUGACGAACCAUGAUGUCAUUAACUUGGUGUCAUGGGAAAUCAGGACUGUUACUUUGAAAAAAAUUAGAGUGUUUAAAGCAGGCUCACGCUUGAAUACAUUAGCAUGGAAUAAUGAAAUAGGACGUUCGAUCCUAUUUUGUUGGUUUUUAGGAUCAACGUAAUGAUUAAUAGGGAUAGUUGGGGGCAUUAGUAUUCAAUUGUCAAAGGUGAAAUUCUUGGAUUUAUUGAAGACUAACUACUGCGAAAGCAUUUGCCAAGGAUGUUUUCAUUAAUCAAGAACGAAAGUUAGGGGAUCGAAGACGAUCAGAUACCGUCGUAGUCUUAACCAUAAACUAUGCCGACUAGGGAUCGGAUGAUGUUAAUUUUUUUAAUGACUCAUUCGGCGCCUU